UAAAGAGGGCAGCAUGCUCCUUUUGUCAUUUGGUCUGCGAUGCUUUGCCACCUUCUCUUUUUGGUCAGGGUGAGUUGAGAUUCUUGGGUUUCAUUCACUUUCUUUGAUGGACUAAAGCUUCUCUUUUUUGGUCUUUUCCAUUUUCUGUUUUUGAUUGCUGAUCCUUGGACAUUUUUCCACCUUCUGGUUCGAUUUUGCAGCCGUCUCUUCCUCUGUUGUUUCAGUUGAUGCUAGCUUUCGUUUUCUUUAUCAUUAUGUUAGCUGUGUCCUUUUCAUUUUGUCUUAAUGGUUUUUCAGGCUUGGCUUUCAUCUAUUGUGUCUGGGUUGACAGGGUUCCAUUUGUUUUUUUUCGCCUAACUGAUUCUACCGUGGAUGACCUGCUCUGCCUGGUGUUCUUUCCUUUCUUAUUGCUUCAUUUUAUUUUAUUUGGCCAUCGUUUCAUGCUGUGCUAUACUUUUCUUAUUCUUUCCUAUGCUGUUGCACCAGUUGUUUUUUAUCUUCAUGUUUUUUCCUCCUGUUUUGCUGAGCAUGAUGUGUGUUGUCUGUUAAGAUGUUUGAUGAUUGGCAUCUUUUUUAGCUGGUGCUUUUGUUGCGAAGGCUGGUUCUCCUCCUGCCUUAUGGUAUGUGGCUUUGCCACAAUUGAUGUAAUUGAUCAGUUUCCCAGUAGCAGCCCCCUUCUAGGUUAUGGCUGUGUAAUGCCAGCAUGUUUCGUGGCCUUAGGCAAUGUGCAGCCAUUUUUUAGAUAAGAUUUUUGAUUUAGCUGGGAGUGUUAAUAUGCUGGCCAUACGUUCGCCAGCAAUGGAUAACAACCGUGAUUGUAAUGUCUAGCGUGCCAGGAGAGUGGCCUCUGUUAGCCAUCCAGAUUAGGGCCUGUGCGUGUGAAGCUUGAAAUCUCCCUGCAGAUUUAUUUUCUGGUUUUUGUGAAUUUGGCUGGGAGUGUUGAUAUGCUGGCCAUACGUUGGCCAGCAAUGAAACGCAGACAUGAUCUUAAUAUCUUGCAUGCCAGGAGGGUUGCUUCUGCUAGCCAUCCAGAGUAGAACCAGAAUGCGUGGAGCUUGGAAUCUCCCUGCAGAUUUUUUUGCUGGGUUUUGUUUUGGUCUGUGCGGUGCUUAUGUUGUUUUCGGUGCUUAGCUUAGCUGGGAACCUUUGUUGCUGCUGAGCUCCUCUUUUCUUCCAAUCUUUUGAUUCUUUGAGUCUCAGUGUCAAUUGGCAGGGGGGCUCUCAGCUAAGCUUGAUUCUGUUGUAUAUGUUAAUCUAGACUGCAAGUGGAGAAAUUAUUUUGUUGCUUUAUAAACAGCAGCUGUUUCAGUUCUUUUCCUUCGCUUUUGAAUGUGAAUUCAUCUUUGUUCGGUGUGUUUGACAGGGGCCCUCUGAUUGUCUUUGCUUGACCACCUUUGAAGGGCACGUUUAUUCUUUCUUUUCAUGCUCUUUCAGUCUUUUUGCUUGGUUGCAUUUUCCUCUUUCAGAUUUCUGUUGUUCCCUUCAUUUACAUGCUUCCAACCUUGCUUGGCAGUAGGGGUUCCUGCCGUCAAGCUGCUGCGAAAACUUUCGGUUGUUAUAGAAGCAUCCUUCUGUGCUCUCACGGCCUCCCCUGCUCCUGCCGCCCCUGCUGUUGCUUUCAAGGUUCCCAGGCAGCCAGUUUCUCUCAUCAAGGACCCCGAUAUCAAGUUGAGGCGAGAGCAACAGUAAUAUUUUUUGACAUUGCAGCAUUCGAAGCAGAUGGUGCUUUGAGGAGAAGGUCAUCCUCGUUAGCAUCAGUUGAUCACCCCAAUAGACCUUUAACUAGAGAGCACGGUGGUCUUAUGAGGUGGCCUGAAAAUUUCUACAGACCAAGGGAACAACGUAAGCCAAACUGUGAAGGGACAUGCCGACCAGCAAAUAGCUUGUCUGCAAGAGCAAUGCAGCAGAGUAUCUUCGGCAGCAUGGCAUGUUCAAUUAACAUCUAUUUGCAAAGAUAUGUUCCGAAGCACCUUUUGGGAUCAUUGCUGGUCAAAAAAUGGAUGUCUGGAAUUUUUAUAUUGAUGCAUGCAGGCUCGCUGGCUUUAUUGUUUAAUAAAUUAAUCAUUCAGGCAACCAUUUGAUGGAGCUCAUUGUGCCUCCAUGCUAUGAAAUUAUGUAGGAGGGAGCUCGAAAUUAUGGCUUGUUUCAUACCCACAGCUUUUCCAGUAGCCGAGCAAGUUCGUCUUUAUGUUUCAAAAAUAUUUUUGAAAAAAUUAAAACAAAAUUAGGGUUUUUUUUUAUUUCAAUCCCACAUGUCACCUUUAUUUUUUCAAGAAAAAAAGGUUGAUAUAUAAUAGUUUUCUUGAAAAUGCAGGUGCUACAAUGGCCUCUUCAACAACCACAUAUGACAAUGUUUACUGCAAGUUGCUACUCCAGGGAAAAAGUAUUUUCUCUUCAGAUCAAGCUCUACUGAUCUCAACAAGAGAAACUAAGGCAUUGGUUUCUAAAUUUGCUGGCUCCCAAGAGAUGUUUGAAAAGGCUUUUGUUGGCGAGACUACUAUCCAUCAAAAUAUUGUUUUGUAAUUCUUAUUCCAUUUUGUUUGUGAUUUCAUUCUGUUUAAGGGAUCAAAGUUAAUCUGAAGCUAUUGUUUGCGAGCUUGCCUGUCUGUUCGAUCGAUAUUCCAGUGAAAGGAAUUCCUUUUUCUGUGUU